rnacentral:sRNA from 1 species
AGCGCGCGCAGGGGCUGCGGAGCGGCAGGAUGCAGGAGGAGCUGGCGUGGGAGACCGACGGCCUUUGGGAUGAACGCGCUUCUCCUGUCUGCCUGGUUCGGCCACUUACGAAUCCUCCAGAUCUUGGUAAACUCAGGGGCCAAGAUCCACUGUGAGAGCAAGGAGGGGAACACGGCCCUUCAUCUGGCUGCUGGUCGGGGCCAUAUGGCUGUGCUGCAGCGACUUGUGGACAUCGGGCUGGACCUGGAGGAGCAGAAUGCGGAAGGUCUGACUGCCCUGCAUUCGGCUGCUGGAGGAUCCCACCCUGACUGUGUGCAGCUCCUCCUCAGGGCUGGGAGCACCGUGAAUGCCCUCACCCAGGUAGCCAGGCCCUCCCAAGACUGCGGUCGGCUCUUGGCUGCUGAGCCAUAGCCAUGUCGGCAGUAACGGCCACAGGGAUUCCUGAACCCUGAGUGAAUAGAGGCUUCGAGGCAGCAGGCAAGGUUCUGAUCUUGGCUUCUCCACUGCUGAGCCCUGUGACCUGGAGCAAGUUACUUAACCUCUCUGAGCCUUGUUUCCCAACUAUAAAGUGCAGUGACAUUUACUUUUUUACAUUGUUGUGAGGAUUAAAUACCUAACACAGUGCCCAGGACAUAAUAGGGCCCAACACCUCAAUACCUGUUAGUGUUUUUUUUGUUUUAUUUUUUUUGAGAUGGGUCUUACUCUGUCGCCCAGGUUGAAGUGCAAUGGUGCGAUCUUGGCUC